ACAUUCUCAAAGACACGGUCUGAACCUUCGGGCGAUGCCGUUGCUCUUUCGGAUGUGAGCCCCUUUGCUGCAAGGCAAUGGCUUGAAAAUGAUUGUGUUUGCAACCGGCCUUUCUUGGUUCGGUUCUCUCAAGUGCAACAGAUGUUAGCCCAUUCGUUACCUCUUGAUGAGAAGCGAUUCCGUUGUCCGGAUGAUCUUACACUCAACCAAAAUACACUCUCAGUGAUCCCUGGAUCAUUGUUUGAUA
rnacentral:misc_RNA from 1 species